CCCUCGAGCGGUCAGGCUCGGACCGGCCUGCGGAGCUGCAGCCGCCCUUAGCACCCUUUACGUCGACAACAUGCUCCAGUUCCUGCUUGGAUUUACUUUGGGCAACGUGGUUGGAAUGUAUCUGGCUCAGAACUAUGACAUGCCUAACGUGGCUAAAAAACUUGAAGAAAUUAAAAAGGACUUGGAUGCCAGGAAGAAACCCCCUAGUUCGUAAGGCCGACUCCAGCACUGCCUUCUGGAUACACUGAUUCUCCUGCGUUUUAGGGCCGCCUUUACCAUCUGAACCAAAAGCUCCAGCCGCAGCGAUUUUCUUCUUUGCUAGACCCUGUGUUGCCUUAGAGUGAAAAUGGGGCCCAGGUUAAGAACUGCCCUUACAUUUCCAACACCCUUACCUUUUCCCAUAUCCUUCCAGCUGCAUGGGAGAGUCUAAGACUGGAAUUAUGGUGCUAGAUUAGUAAACAUGACCGUUAAUGAGUA